rnacentral:rRNA from 1 species
AGAGUUUGAUCAUGGCUCAGAUUGAACGCUGGCGGCAGGCCUAACACAUGCAAGUCGAACGGUAACAGGAAGCAGCUUGCUGCUUCGCUGACGAGUGGCGGACGGGUGAGUAAUGUCUGGGAAACUGCCUGGUGGAGGGGGAUAACUACUGGAAACGGUGGCUAAUACCGCAUAACGUCGCAAGACCAAAGAGGGGGACCUUCGGGCCUCUUGCCAUCAGAUGUGCCCAGAUGGGAUUAGCUUGUUGGUGAGGUAACGGCUCACCAAGGCGACGAUCCCUAGCUGGUCUGAGAGGAUGACCAGCCACACUGGAACUGAGACACGGUCCAGACUCCUACGGGAGGCAGCAGUGGGGAAUAUUGCACAAUGGGCGCAAGCCUGAUGCAGCCAUGCCGCGUGUAUGAAGAAGGCCUUCGGGUUGUAAAGUACUUUCAGCGGGGAGGAAGGUGUUGUGGUUAAUAACCACAGCAAUUGACGUUACCCGCAGAAGAAGCACCGGCUAACUCCGUGCCAGCAGCCGCGGUAAUACGGAGGGUGCAAGCGUUAAUCGGAAUUACUGGGCGUAAAGCGCACGCAGGCGGUCUGUCAAGUCGGAUGUGAAAUCCCCGGGCUCAACCUGGGAACUGCAUUCGAAACUGGCAGGCUUGAGUCUUGUAGAGGGGGGUGGAAUUCCAGGUGUAGCGGUGAAAUGCGUAGAGAUCUGGAGGAAUACCGGUGGCGAAGGCGGCCCCCUGGACAAAGACUGACGCUCAGGUGCGAAAGCGUGGGGGAGCAAACAGGAUUAGAUACCCUGGUAGUCCACGCCGUAAACGAUGUCUACUUGGAGGUUGUGCCCUUGAGGCGUGGCUUCCGGAGCUAACGCGUUAAGUAGACCGCCUGGGGAGUACGGCCGCAAGGUUAAAACUCAAAUGAAUUGACGGGGGCCCGCACAAGCGGUGGAGCAUGUGGUUUAAUUCGAUGCAACGCGAAGAACCUUACCUGGUCUUGACAUCCACGGAAGGUCUCAGAGAUGAGACUGUGCCUUCGGGAGCCGUGAGACAGGUGCUGCAUGGCUGUCGUCAGCUCGUGUUGUGAAAUGUUGGGUUAAGUCCCGCAACGAGCGCAACCCUUAUCCUUUGUUGCCAGCGGUCCGGCCGGGAACUCAAAGGAGACUGCCAGUGAUAAACUGGAGGAAGGUGGGGAUGACGUCAAGUCAUCAUGGCCCUUACGACCAGGGCUACACACGUGCUACAAUGGCGCAUACAAAGAGAAGCGACCUCGCGAGAGCAAGCGGACCUCAUAAAGUGCGUCGUAGUCCGGAUUGGAGUCUGCAACUCGACUCCAUGAAGUCGGAAUCGCUAGUAAUCGUGGAUCAGAAUGCCACGGUGAAUACGUUCCCGGGCCUUGUACACACCGCCCGUCACACCAUGGGAGUGGGUUGCAAAAGAAGUAGGUAGCUUAACCUUCGGGAGGGCGCUUACCACUUUGUGAUUCAUGACUGGGGUGAAGUCGUAACAAGGUAACCGUAGGGGAACCUGCGGUUGGAUCACCU